rnacentral:pre_miRNA from 1 species
AAUGGGAUAACUGGGUCAAAUGGUGGUUCUGUUCCAAAGUUUUCUGAGGAAUCUCCACACUGCUUUCCAGAGUGGUGGCACCAAUUUGCAGUCCCACCAGCCAU